AGAGUUUGAUCCUGGCUCAGGACGAACGCUGGCGGCGUGCCUAAUACAUGCAUGUCGAACGCUUUUUUCAAUCAUCGUAGCUUGCUACACCGAUUGGAAAUUGAGUGGCGAACGGGUGAGUAACACGUGGGUAACCUGCCCAAAAGAGGGGGAUAACACUUGGAAACAGGUGCUAAUACCGCAUAACCAUGAUGACCGCAUGGUCAUUAUGUAAAAGAUGGUUUCGGCUAUCACUUUUGGAUGGACCCGCGGCGUAUUAACUUGUUGGUGGGGUAACGGCCUACCAAGGUGAUGAUACGUAGCCGAACUGAGAGGUUGAUCGGCCACAUUGGGACUGAGACACGGCCCAAACUCCUACGGGAGGCAGCAGUAGGGAAUCUUCCACAAUGGGCGCAAGCCUGAUGGAGCAACGCCGCGUGAGUGAAGAAGGUCUUCGGAUCGUAAAACUCUGUUGUUAGAGAAGAACAUGCGAGAGAGUAACUGUUCUUGUAUUGACGGUAUCUAACCAGAAAGCCACGGCUAACUACGUGCCAGCAGCCGCGGUAAUACGUAGGUGGCAAGCGUUGUCCGGAUUUAUUGGGCGUAAAGGGAACGCAGGCGGUCCUUUAAGUCUGAUGUGAAAGCCUUCGACUUAACCGAAGAAUUGCAUUGGAAACUGGAGGACUUGAGUGCAGAAGAGGAGAGUGGAACUCCAUGUGUAGCGGUGAAAUGCGUAGAUAUAUGGAAGAACACCAGUGGCGAAAGCGGCUCUCUGGUCUGUAACUGACGCUGAGGUUCGAAAGUGUGGGUAGCAAACAGGAUUAGAUACCCUGGUAGUCCACACCGUAAACGAUGAA
rnacentral:rRNA from 1 species